rnacentral:rRNA from 1 species
CAGGACCUACGGGGGGCAGCAGUGGGGAGUAUUGGGCAAUGGGCGCAAGCCUGACCCAGCAACGCCGCGUGAAGGAAGAAGGCCCUCGGGUUGUAAAAUUCUGUUAUAAGGGAAGAAAGGUGAUAGGAGGAAAUGACUAUCAAUUGACGGUACCUUAUGAGAAAGCCACGGCUAACUACGUGCCAGCAGCCGCGGUAAUACGUAGGUGGCAAGCGUUAUCCGGAAUUAUUGGGCGUAAAGAGCGCGCAGGUGGUUAAUUAAGUCUGAUGUGAAAGCCCACGGCUUGACCGUG